rnacentral:rRNA from 1 species
GACGAACGCUGGCGGCGUGCUUAACACAUGCAAGUCGAACGGAAAGGCCCUGCUUUUGUGGGGUGCUCGAGUGGCGAACGGGUGAGUAACACGUGAGUAACCUGCCCUUGACUUUGGGAUAACUUCAGGAAACUGGGGCUAAUACCGGAUAGGAGCUCCUGCUGCAUGUUGGGGGUUGGAAAGUUUCGGCGGUUGGGGAUGGACUCGCGGCUUAUCAGCUUGUUGGUGGGGUAGUGGCUUACCAAGGGUUUGACGGGUAGCCGGCCUGAGAGGGUGACCGGCCACAUUGGGACUGAGAUACGGCCCAGACUCCUACGGGAGGCAGCAGUGGGGAAUAUUGCACAAUGGGCGGAAGCCUGAUGCAGCAACGCCGCGUGCGGGAUGACGGCCUUCGGGUUGUAAACCGCUUUCGCCUGUGACGAAGCGUGAGUGACGGUAAUGGGUAAAGAAGCACCGGCUAACUACGUG